UCCUACGGGAGGCAGCAGUGGGGAAUAUUGCACAAUGGGCGAAAGCCUGAUGCAGCAACGCCGCGUGAGCGAUGAAGGCCUUCGGGUCGUAAAGCUCUGUCCUCAAGGAAGAUAAUGACGGUACUUGAGGAGGAAGCCCCGGCUAACUACGUGCCAGCAGCCGCGGUAAUACGUAGGGGGCUAGCGUUAUCCGGAUUUACUGGGCGUAAAGGGUGCGUAGGCGGUCUUUUAAGUCAGGAGUGAAAGGCUACGGCUCAACCGUAGUAAGCUCUUGAAACUGGAGGACUUGAGUGCAGGAGAGGAGAGUGGAAUUCCUAGUGUAGCGGUGAAAUGCGUAGAUAUUAGGAGGAACACCAGUAGCGAAGGCGGCUCUCUGGACUGUAACUGACGCUGAGGCACGAAAGCGUGGGGAGCAAACAGGAUUAGAUACCCUGGUAGUCCACGCCGUAAACGAUGAGUACUAGGUGUCGGGGGUUACCCCCCUCGGUGCCGCAGCUAACGCAUUAAGUACUCCGCCUGGGGAGUACGCUCGCAAGAGUGAAACUCAAAGGAAUUGACGG
rnacentral:rRNA from 1 species